AGUGAACGCUGGCGGUAGGCCUAACACAUGCAAGUCGAACGGCAGCACAGGAGAGCUUGCUCUCUGGGCGGCGAGUGGCGGACGGGUGAGGAAUACAUCGGAAUCUACUUUUUCGUGGGGGAUAACGUAGGGAAACUUACGCUAAUACCGCAUACGACCUACGGGUGGAAGCAGGGGACCUUCGGGCCUUGCGCGAUUGAAUGAGCCGAUGUCGGAUUAGCUAGUUGGCGGGGUAAAGGCCCACCAAGGCGACGAUCCGUAGCUGGUCUGAGAGGAUGAUCAGCCACACUGGAACUGAGACACGGUCCAGACUCCUACGGGAGGCAGCAGUGGGGAAUAUUGGACAAUGGGCGCAAGCCUGAUCCAGCCAUACCGCGUGGGUGAAGAAGGCCUUCGGGUUGUAAAGCCCUUUUGUUGGGAAAGAAAUCCAGCUGGCUAAUACCCGGUUGGGAUGACGGUACCCAAAGAAUAAGCACCGGCUAACUUCGUGCCAGCAGCCGCAGUAA
rnacentral:rRNA from 1 species